rnacentral:rRNA from 1 species
GAUGAACGCUGGCGGCGUGCUUAACACAUGCAAGUCGAACGGAGCGGCGAACGGGUGAGUAACACGUGGGUGAUCGGCCUUGCACUUCGGGAUAAGCUUGGGAAACUGGGUCUAAAUCCGGAUAGUGGAGGAUGAGGUCGCGGCCUAUCUGCUUGUUGGUGGGGUAAUGGCCUACCAAGGCGUCGAAGGGUAGCCGGCCUGGGAGGGUGUACGGCCACAUUGGGCCUGCGAUACGGCCCAGACGCUUACGGGGGGCAGUAGUGGGGAAUUUUGCCCAAUGGGCCGGAGCCUCAUGCAGCGACGCGGGGUGGGGGAUGAAGGCCUUCGAGUUGUGAACACCUGUAGACGGGGACGCGGUACCUGUAUAAGAAGCACCGGCUAACUACGUGCCAGCAGCCGCGGUAAUAC